rnacentral:rRNA from 1 species
GACGAACGCUGGCGGCGCGCUUAACACAUGCAAGUCGAGCGAGAACCAGGCCUUCGGGCCUGGGGACAGCGGCGAACGGGUGAGUAACACGUGGGUAAUCAACCCUCGGUACUGGGAUAGCCCGGGGAAACCCGGAUUAAUACCGGAUGGCCCUUCGGAUCUUCGGUUCUGAAGGAAAAGGUAGCUUCGGCCUCCGACCGAGGACGAGCCCGCGGCGGAUUAGCUUGUUGGUGGGGUAACAGCCUACCAAGGCGGCGAUCCGUAGCUGGUCUGAGAGGACGAUCAGCCACACUGGGACUGAGACACGGCCCAGACUCCUACGGGAGGCAGCAGUGGGGAAUCUUGCGCUAAUGCGGGAAACCGUGACGCAGCGACGCCGCGUGAGGGAAGAAGGCCUUCGGGUUGUAAACCUCUUUCAGGAGGGACGAAGCUACUCGGGUUAAUAGCCUAGAGGGUGACGGUACCUCCAGAAGAAGCCCCGGCUAACUACGUGCCAGCAGCCGCCGUAAAAC